AGAAGACCCGGAUCACUAGCGGGAAUCCUGAGCUAGAAGGAAGAGAUGAAGGGUGCAGGGGGCGUUGCUGGAACACAAUUGGAGAAAUUGGUUAUUUCACCAAGGCUUUAACUGGAAUGGUGUGCUUUCCUUUAAGGAAUCAAACUUGACUUGUAAAGCCAAUAAAAGCCCCUUGGAGAAUUGGCCUCAGAUCUUGUCUGCAACUGUCCCUGUAAAGAGAUGGGGUCUUGCUAUGUUGCCCAAGCUGGUCUUGAAAUCCUGGUCUCGAACUCCUGGUGUCAAGCAAUAUUCCCACCCUGGCCACCCGAAGUGCUGGGAUUACAAGUGUGAGCCACUGCGUCUGGCCUAAAAUCUACGUCUUCUGCACAGGUUUUCUCUCUGCUCUGCCGCUGCAUCCAUGCAUGUUUGUAUAAUAAUAGCUAACUUAUAUUAAGCCACUCCUCUGUGCCUGGCAUUGUAUAUCCUUAUAAAACCUGUAUUAUUUAAUCCUUAUUGUAGAGACAGGAAAAAUGAGUCUCAGAAAGUUAAGAUUUUUUGCCCAACAUCUGACAAGUUUCAAACGAACUUGAAUUCAGGUAGUUAAUUGUCUGAAAAUAACUCUUCUUUCCAGCAGACUUGUAAAUUUCAAAGUAAAUUGGAAAUUUAGUUUAAAUUUUGCAUUUUUCUGGAAAAAGAGAGGAAAAAUAGGAAAUCCUUCAUAAUUUCCAAAAGUUUUAGAAUAAAUAAUAUGGGAAGAGGCUACAUUGUUAUGGAUCUCCUGGGCCACUUAGUGAAAAUGACUGAAUGUUAUUAUUUAGUGCAUUUAAUCUACAAAUUCAGACUUCAUUUUCAAGCUUCAAAUAUUUUUGAGAUAUCUGUGGAGUAUAGCUUUAUGACUAAAUUUUGUGUCCCAAGAUGCUUCCUUUACUCUUGAUGCUGAAAUAACUACACUAGGUUAAAUACAGAAAGGGUUUGUAGGUCAACAUUCAGGAAAAUAGCACACUGAACAUGUGGUUUUAAAUAAUGUUUUAAUGAAGAAGAAUGAGAAGGUUAUUUUGCAAGACAGAGGGGAUUGUCACAUCACGCCCACCUAGAAUUCUAAGGCAAGAAUAUUAAUGGAGACUCAUAAAUCAUUCGUUCAGUUAUUUUCAAAUUAGUUCUUAAAAUUUUAAAGUCAAAUACAAAUUAUAAGAUUGAAAAUUAAAAAUUCAAAUCAAAAA